UGCAAGUCGAGGGAGACCGUCUCCUUCGGGAGACUAGUAAACCGGCGGACGGGUGCGUAACACGUGAGCAACGUACCUGGGAGAGGGGGAUAACCCGGGGAAACCCGGGCUAAUACCCCAUGACGUGGCGGCCACGCAUGUGGCGGCCACCAAAGGGGGCGUUCCUUCGGGAAGCUCUCACUUCCAGAUCGGCUCGCGGCCUAUCAGCUUGUUGGUGAGGUCACGGCUCACCAAGGCGAUGACGGGUAGUUGGUCUUAGCGGAUGAUCAGCCACACGGGGACUGAGACACGGCCCCGACUCCUACGGGAGGCAGCAGUGGGGAAUUUUGGACAAUGGGCGAAAGCCUGAUCCAGCGACGCCGCGUGCGGGAGGAAGCCCUUCGGGGUGUAAACCGUUGUCAGAAGGGAAGAACGGGCUCGGGCGAAUAACCUGGGCCGCUGACGGUACCUUCAGAGGAAGCGCCGGCUAACUCCGUGCCAGCAGCCGCGGUAACACGGGGGGCGCAAGCGUUGUCCGGAAUUACUGGGCGUAAAGGGGGCGCAGGCGGCUUGGUAAGUCCUAUGUGAAAGCCUACGGCUCAACCGUGGAAAGCCAUAGGAUACUGCCGAGCUAGAGACGGGUAGAGGCGAGUGGAAUUCCCGGUGUAGCGGUGGAAUGCGUAGAUAUCGGGAAGAACACCAGUGGCGAAGGCGGCUCGCUGGGCCCGUUCUGACGCUCAGGCCCGAAAGCGUGGGGAGCAAACAGGAUUAGAUACCCUGGUAGUCCACGC
rnacentral:rRNA from 1 species